UACGUAGGGUGCAAGCGUUGUCCGGAAUUAUUGGGCGUAAAGAGCUCGUAGGCGGUCUGUCGCGUCGGCUGUGAAAUCCCGAGGCUCAACCUCGGGCCUGCAGUGGGUACGGGCAGACUAGAGUGCGGUAGGGGAGAUUGGAAUUCCUGGUGUAGCGGUGGAAUGCGCAGAUAUCAGGAAGAACACCGAUGGCGAAGGCAGCUCUCGUGGGACGGUACUGACGCUGAGACGCGAAAGCGUGGGGAGCAAACAGG
rnacentral:rRNA from 1 species